GACGAACGCUGGCGGCGUGCUUAACACAUGCAAGUCGAACGGAAAGGCCCUGCUUUUGUGGGGUGCUCGAGUGGCGAAAGGGUGAGUAACACGUGAGUAACCUGCCCUUGACUUUGGGAUAACUUCAGGAAACUGGGGCUAAUACCGGAUAGGAGCUCCUGCUGCAUGGUGGGGGUUGGAAAGUUUCGGCGGUUGGGGAUGGACUCGCGGCUUAUCAGCUUGUUGGUGGGGUAGUGGCUUACCAAGGCUUUGACGGGUAGCCGGCCUGAGAGGGUGAGCGGCCAAAUUGGGACUGGAAUACGGCACAGACUCCUACGGGAGGCAGCGGUGGAGAAGAUUGCACAAUGGGAGGAAGCCAGAUGCAGCAACGCCGCGUGCGGGAUGAGGGCCUGCGGGUUGUAAACCGCUUUCGUCUGUGACGAAGCGUGAGUGACGGUAAUGGGUAAAGAAGCACCGGCUAACUACGUG
rnacentral:rRNA from 1 species